GCCCCCCGAAUUGUGGUCUAGAAAGGCGCCAUCGGCCGUUCGCGUCGCUCAAAUCCCUUGGAACAGGGUAUCGGAGAAGGUGAGAAUCCUGUGCCGUGGCGUGGAGCGGCCGCACGAUGCGUCCUUGUCGAGUCGGGUUGCUUGGGAUUGCAGCUUGAAGUGGGUGGUAAAUUCCAUCUAAAGCUAAAUACUGGCGAGAGACCGAUAGCGAACAAGUACCGUGAGGGAAAGAUGCAAAGAACUUUGAAAAGAGAG
rnacentral:rRNA from 4 species